rnacentral:tRNA from 1 species
GGGAGAGUAACCGGUAACUGGUAGCCGCGCGGACUGUAAAUCCGCUCUCUUUGGAGACUGGGGGUUCGAGUCCCUCCUCUCCCA